rnacentral:rRNA from 1 species
ACAUCCAGCGAACUUGGCAGAGAUGCCUUGGUGCCUUCGGGAACGCUGAGACAGGUGCUGCAUGGCUGUCGUCAGCUCGUGUUGUGAAAUGGUUGGGUUAAGUCCCGNAACGAGCGCAACCCUUAUCCUUUGUUGCCAGCGAUUCGGUCGGGAACUCAAAGGAGACUGCCGGUGAUAAACCGGAGGAAGGUGGGGAUGACGUCAAGUCAUCAUGGCCCUUACGAGUAGGGCUACACACGUGCUACAAUGGCGCAUACAAAGAGAAGCGACCUCGCGAGAGCAAGCGGACCUCAUAAAGUGCGUCGUAGUCCGGAUCGGAGUCUGCAACUCGACUCCGUGAAGUCGGAAUCGCUAGUAAUCGUGGAUCAGAAUGCCACGGUGAAUACGUUCCCGGGCCUUGUACACACCGCCCGUCACACCAUGGGAGUGGGUUGCAAAAGAAGUAGGUAGCUUAACCUUCGGGAGGGCGCUUACCACUUUGUGAUUCAUGACUGGGGUGAAGUCGUAACAAGGUAGGCGUAGCGAG